rnacentral:lncRNA from 1 species
AAAAUAAAAAAUCACAUUUAAGGUCUCUACACUAAACCAUUUUCAACCUACCAAGUCACCAAACAUAACCACAAUCUAAACAAAAAAGUACCUUUAAAGUCAGCACACUUACACAUUUUCAAAACUCAAGUCACCAAAUAUAACCACUUCAAAAAAAAAUCACCUUUAAAAUACCUACACCCAUUUUAAACCGACCAUGUCACCAAACAUAAUCACUAUCAAAACCAAAAAUACCUUCAAAGUUACUACACUUAACCAUUUUUAACCUACCAUCACCAAAGAUAACCACAUUCAAAAUAAAUAAUCACCUUUAAAGUCUCUAUACUUAGCAUUUUAAUCUAUCAAGUCACCUAACAUAAACACUUUCAGAACAAAAAAUGACCAUUAAAGUCCCUACACUUAACCAUUUUAAACCUACCAAGUCAUCAAACAUAACCACUUUUAAAAUAUAAAAUCACCUUUAAAGUCCCUACACUUAACUAUUUUCAACCUACCAUGUCACAAAACAUUAUCACUAACAUACCAAAAAAACACCUUUAAAGGAUCUGCACUUAAUCAUUUUCAACCUACCAAGUCACAUUUAAAGUCCCUACACUAAAUCAUUUUUAACCUACCAAGGCUCCAAACAUAACCACUUUCAAAGCAAAAAAUCACCUUUAAAG